rnacentral:rRNA from 1 species
UACGGGGGGGGCAAGCGUUGUUCGGAAUUACUGGGCGUAAAGGGCGCGUAGGCGGCCUUCUAAGUCAGACGUGAAAUCCCUCGGCUCAACCGAGGAACUGCGUCUGAUACUGGAAGGCUUGAAUCCGGGAGAGGGAUGUGGAAUUCCAGGUGUAGCGGUGAAAUGCGUAGAUAUCUGGAGGAACACCGGUGGCGAAGGCGGCAUCCUGGACCGGUAUUGACGCUGAGGAGCGAAAGUGUGGGGAGCGAACAGG